rnacentral:rRNA from 1 species
AGAGUUUGAUCCUGGCUCAGGAUGAACGCUAGCGACAGGCUUAACACAUGCAAGUCGAGGGGCAGCGGGGGAGUAGCAAUACUCCCGCCGGCGACCGGCGCACGGGUGAGUAACACGUAUGAAACCUGCCCGUAGCAGGGGGAUAAGCGGAAGAAAUUCCGUCUAAUACCGCGUAACAACCCUUGGAGGCAUCUCCUCGGGUUUAAAGGAAGCGAUUCCGGCUACGGAUGGUCAUGCGUCGCAUUAGCUUGUUGGCGGGGUAACGGCCCACCAAGGCGACGAUGCGUAGGGGUUCUGAGAGGAAGGUCCCCCACACUGGUACUGAGACACGGACCAGACUCCUACGGGAGGCAGCAGUGAGGAAUAUUGGUCAAUGGCCGCAGGGCUGAACCAGCCAAGUCGCGUGAGGGAUGACGGUCCUGUGGAUUGUAAACCUCUUUUGUCAAGGAGCAAAGGGCGUCACGUGUGGCGCUUUGCGAGUACCUGA